CAGCACGUCUUCCUCGACGGCGACGGGGAUCUGUUCUCGGGCGGGGUCGGCGGCGGCGUGCCGCCGGCGUCGAAGGCCGCGAUCGCCGCGCUGAAGGAGGUGAAGGCCGGGGAGGUCGAGGGCGGGGGCGAGCUGGGCGAGUGCGCCAUCUGCCUGGACGGGGUGGAGGACGCCGGCAAGGAGAUGCCGUGCGGGCACCGCUUCCACGGGGGCUGCCUGGAGCGGUGGCUCGGCGUGCACGGCAACUGCCCCGUGUGCCGCCGCGAGCUGCCGCCGGCCAAGGAGGAGGACAACGCGGCGGCGAUGGAGGGCGGCGGCGAGGAGAGGCGGAGGCCCAGGGCCGCGGUCGUGGUCAGCUACCUCGUGCUCGGAGGCGAGCGUGGUGGGGAGGCGCAGGCGCAGGCGCAGCAGGAGCCGGGGCCGGAGAGAGAGGAGCCGUGGAACAUUAGGAUAGAGGACGUGGAUUAGGAUU
rnacentral:lncRNA from 1 species